ACAAAAUGUAGCUUAACAAAAGCCCUUCGCUUACACCGAAGAAAUAUCCGUUAAAUCUGAUCAUUUUGA
rnacentral:tRNA from 1 species